UGCGCCAUGUCUGUUGCAGGUGUAGCAGGACGACUGCUCUUGGCGCAUUCGAGGUCUUGUCCCUUUAAUUAUCUGCCCUAUGAGAAGGGAUCGGUAUAUCUGCACUUUCUCUUUCUCUCUCUCUCUGGCAAUGGGUGCGAACUUUCUGCUUCCGGGUUGCCUGGCUGCAGGUUUUUGCAGACGCUCCGCACUCUUUGGUGUGGCGCAAAAUUGUGUUCCAUAGCGCAGGCGCUGGCAGGUUGGACGGCGCGUGUCGGGUAGUUUCCCUUUCGGUGCCGGAGCGAUGUCACGCUGAGGGCUCGGCAUCUGGCUACCCCGAACUGUACUGCUUUUGGACUGCUGCUGCUUUUUACGGGGAUAGAACAAACCUACUUUU